AUUUUAUAUUGUUUUUAUUUAAUUCACCUGUGCACUUUAUUGUGGGACCACGUGUUAUCAUGAAUGAAAAGUUUUAUUGAGUGAUGCAAUUGCUUACGGAAUAACACGUGAUGUGCUGUUAGCCAAUCAGAAUAAAGUAUUAUAAUGAAACAUACAUCUAAUGUAAUUAUUAUAAAAUCUUCUCUAUUUCAUUUAAUUGUUUUUGCAAAAUAAUAAUUAUAUUAACAAAUAAGUUAACGGUAAAAAAAAAUCAUACAUUUGAUUCGAAAGGCUUUGAGUGUUUUUAGAAUAUCGCGACUUUUAAAAAACAAUAUCGUGAAAAGUUUCUAUGUUACAUACAUCAAUGUAUUUCUGUAUUUCCUUAGUUCAGUUAUUCAUGGAUAAGGUCAAUACGAAGAGUACAUGCACUCUUUUUGUCAACUUCAUUUUGUUAUGAUACAAUGGAUUAUAAUCUCUGUGACAUACCAUUAAUUCUAUGUACACCUUUUAUUGCACGAAUCUGAAAUAAAUCUUUAAAAU
rnacentral:lncRNA from 1 species